GAGAAAUCAAACCCUUAUAUCAAUACACUGUUGCAGGAAUGUAAAAUGAUACCACUAGUUUGGAGAAGAGUCUGGCAGUUCUUUAAAUGGUUAAUCAGAGAGUUCCUGUGUGGCACAGUAAUUCUGCUUCUCGGUAUAUCCCCAGGAGAAAUGAAAACAUAUGCCUCCACAAAAACCUGUACACUAAUGUUCAUAACAGCAUUAUUCGUAUCAGCCCCCCAAAUGGAAACAAACUAAAUAUGCAUUGAUUGAUGAAUGGGUAAACGAAAUGUGGUAUAGCCAUACAAUGGAAUAAUAUACAAAAUAGAAAGGAAGUGCUGACACGUGCUACAACAUGAUGAACCUUGAAAACAUGCUAAGUGGAAGAAGCAGGGGCAAAGAGCCAAUACUGUAUUACUCCAUUUAUAUGAGGCAUCCAGCAUAGACAAAUCUAAAGAGACAGGUGGUUGUCUCAGGGCUGUGAGGGAUGGGAAGAAUGGGCGUGACUGCUAAUUGACAUGCGUUUCGAACUCAAAUAAGAUUUUUGUUUGGUUGUUUUUGAGACAAGGUCUGGCUUUGUCGCCCAACCUGGAGUGCAGUGGUGCAACAGUGGGGUCUCCCUGUGUUGCCCAGGUUGGUCUCGAACUCCUCAGCUCAAGGGAUCCUCCUGCCUCUGCCUCCAAAAGUACUGGGAAUAUAGGCAUGAGCCACCUCGCCCAGCCUGAUAUGGUGUUUCUUUAUGGGGUGAUGAAAAUAUUCUAAAAUUAUGGUGAUGGCUUAAGCGGAU
rnacentral:lncRNA from 10 species